AUAGGCUCACAGAGAUGGAGUUCGGCGUGUGUGUGACUCACGACUCAACGUGACGUAAGUGAGAUCCAGCUGCACUUUUUAAAAAAGUAACAGCGCCAUGUCAGACGGUAGAUAGCGGAAAUAAAUGAUGGGGGGCACAGCUUCCAGAAGCACUGCAGCACACAGCUAAUUACACAACUAUGCAGGCAAGUGUGUGUGUGAGGAAACAUUACCUACUCACCACCAUCUUUCUCUGUUUAAUUAGGCACCCCUCCCCUCGCCUCUUACCCUGGCCUGGGAUUUGAUAAACAGGAAGUGAGGCGCCCGAGCACUUCCUGGCUCCCUUCAAGCGGGCCUCUGGUUUCCCAGAGGUUGAACGGGUAAAGCGACGGGCUGCAGCGGCGACCGGUUUCUCUGCCACCUUCACAAUCCACACAAAGCCCCCAGAGAUUUCAGUUGAUGGAAGUUGCUUAAUUAAAGACAAGAUCAAGCGCUCUUUCUAUUGGUCUGUGAGCCUGACUGUGGCUGUGCUGACUGGGAGGAUCUAAAUACGGAGGUGAGGUUAGUGCAAGGCCAUCUCUUUUGCCGCCUCCUGAGCCAGCAGAAGGAGGACGCUCCUGAAAACACACACACACACACACACACACACAGCCGUCUGCGUUAUGCAACUGGCCUCGUGUGUGAGGUCUGCCCUCCGCAGUGGCUCCACGGCAGGUGAAAGUCGAGAAGGACGGUCGGGAAAGUCAAAGCAAGACUGAGGGACGUCGAAACGUGUGCACCGACCGACCUGCCAGAGUCUGAUGAAGCACAUGCUGAGUAAACGGAGACAUCUGACAGGGCUGUCACUGUACUUCUGAUUAUAUUAUUUAAAACUUCACAAAUAGUCUCAUUCAGAGAGAAGAAUAGACUAAAACCCAUGUAUGCAUGGCUAGCACUUAUGUGUAUUUUAUCUGACAAUUAUUUCUGGGUGUCCUUUAAAAAAAAAAAAAAAAAUAACGAGCUUGAAAAAAUGUCUUUAAUGUACUUGCAUAACUUUUUAUGCUGCAUUGCUAUUUGGUAUUCACAAGAUCGAAAAAGCACUGAAAGAUCCAAAACAGAAGUGUCUAACAUAAGGUUCAUGGACCAAAUCCAGCCAGCAAGAGGCUGCAAUCCA